rnacentral:rRNA from 1 species
GAGUGCGAUAGGGGCAAGGGGAAUUCCCAGUGUAGCGGUGAAAUGCGUAGAUAUUGGGAAGAACACCGGUGGCGAAAGCGCCUUGCUGGGUCUGCACUGACACUGAGGGACGAAAGCUAGGGGAGCGAAAGGGAUUAGAUACCCCUGUAGUCCUCGCCGUAAACGAUGGAUACUAGGCGUUGUCCGUAUCGACCCGGACAGUGUCGUAGCUAACGCGUUAAGUAUCCCGCCUGGGGAGUACGCUCGCAAGAGUGAAACUCA